rnacentral:lncRNA from 1 species
CAGCUUCUGGGUUGGGCUCUGAGCAGGGACGGGCUGGCAUGUGACUGUGACUCAGAAGCCUGAGAAGUAGGCACAGAGCACAUUGGCCCUUUCCUGUCCCACCACCGCUUCAUGAGCUUCCAGCAAGAGAAGCAGAGAAUAACAGGGCCCGUCUCAGGCUGGCUCUCCUCUGUUGCUGAAGGCAGAGUCCAAAAUGAGGGAACUUCUUAGGACCAUGGUCAUAGGUCCUGUAUGGCUGCUGUGGUCUUGAGAAGAGCAGGUACUCUGCAUCUGUUUUGGAGCUUGCUCAGAAUGGGUCUCAUGCCAUCCAGGCUGACCUCACAUUUGCUGUGUACCCAAGGAUAAACUUCAAUUUCUGAUUCUCUUGCCUCCACCUCUGGAGUACCGGGAUUACAGGUAUGUGUCACCAUGCCCGGGUUUAUGAUGGGCUGGACUUUGUGCUAGACAAGCACUCUACCUACUGAGCUGUGCAUGUCUUAAAUCUUCCAGAAAAACCUCAGGGUUUCGAUGUUUUAAAGAUUUUUACUUAAAAAUUUUACUUUUGUGUUUGACUGCAUGUAUGUGUACCAAGUACAUGCUUACUGACCUUGGAAGCCAGAAAGAGGAUGUCAGAUCCCCUGGAUGGUUACAGAUGGUUUUGAGCUGCUAUGUGGGUGCUGGGAGUCAAACUCAGGUCCUCUGCAAGAGUACCGAGUACCCUUAACCCCUGAGCCAUCUCCCUGUCCCGUUUCUAUUAUUUUAAAUUGUAUGUGCCUGAGUGCAGCGCCGCUUUCCAGCCAGGUUCCAAUGUUUUGGAUGUCAACCCCACAUUUCUAUAUAUGUCAAGAAUUGUGCAGCCAGGCAUUGGUGGCGCACACCUUUAGUCCCAGCACUGGGGAGGCAGAGGCAGGCGGGUCUCUGUGAGUUUGAGGCCAGCCUGGUCUUCAAAGAGAGUUCCAAGACAGUCUCCAAGCCUACAGAGAAACCCUGUCUCAAAAAAACAAACAAACAAAAAAACCCAACCAAACAAAAAAAAGAUGUGUACCAACACCACCCAAUUAUUAAACAAAAGCAAAUAGCUGUGCAAAGUACAACUGCUCUAGAGAAAGCCUCCAAAGCAAUAAAAAUUAUGCUUGCUUAAAAAAAAAAAAGAAUUGUGGAGCUCAGGGCUGGAGAGAUGCUUCAGUAGUUAAGAACACACACUGCUCUUACAGAGGACCCAAACUAAGUUCCCAGCACCCAUGUCAGGCAGCUCACAAUCACCUGCAACCUCAGCUUCAGGGGCUCUGGCCACUGCUGACACCUGUAUGCACUCACAUACCCACACAUAGACGAAAUUUAAAAAUAAAAUAAACCUUGAAGAAUUGUGGAACUUACACUUUUUUUUUUCUCUCCCCUGUAUCUGUGUCCCUCUUGUUUCUUUCACAACCUUUUGAGGCCAUUAGGUAGCUAGUAUGGGCCAUAAGGUGUCCUACCAGAGGG